UGGGGAAUAUUGGGCAAUGGGCGAAAGCCUGACCCAGCAACGCCGCGUGAGUGAAGAAGGCUUUCGGGUUGUAAAGCUCUGUUAUAGGGGACGAAGUCGUGACGGUACCCUAUAAGGAAGCCCCGGCUAACUACGUGCCAGCAGCCGCGGUAAUACGUAGGGGGCGAGCGUUGUCCGGAAUGACUGGGCGUAAAGGGCGUGUAGGCGGCUAAAUAAGUCUGGAGUGAAAGUCCUGCAUUCAAUGUGGGAAUUGCUUUGGAUACUGUUAAGCUUGAGUGCGGAAGAGGUAAGUGGAAUUCCCAGUGUAGCGGUGAAAUGCGUAGAGAUUGGGAGGAACACCAGUGGCGAAGGCGACUUACUGGGCCGUAACUGACGCUGAGGCGCGAAAGCGUGGGGAGCGAACAGGAUUAGAUACCCUGGUA
rnacentral:rRNA from 1 species